rnacentral:rRNA from 1 species
CUAGCCCUAAACGAUGUAGACUAGACGUCGGUGGUGUAAUAGCUGUCGGUGUCCAAGCUAACGCGAUAAGUCUACCGCCUGGGGACUACGGCCGCAAGGUUAAAACUCAAAGGAAUUGACGGGUCCCCGCACAAGCAGCGGAGCGUGUGGUUUAAUUCGUUGCUACACGAAGAACCUUACCUGGGUUUGACAUAGCAGUGGUAGGGAAGAGAAAUCGGACCGACCCUUCGGGGAGAUGUUACAGGUGU